AGGGUUGAGUGAUAAACCUGUUAUUAAAGGGUAUCAUAAGAUUAAACCUGCAAAAGUAAGCGAAGCAGUAAUGUGGAGCGGUGAACGGCUCAGUAACAGGCGAUUUAUUUGUUCUCUUGGGAUGGACAACAUCGGGAAACUGAUGGGAAAACAUCUAAGAUGCAUUUUCUUGAAUGUGUCGUAAACCUUUGGUGCAAGAGAGUAAGACGCCUUCCUAUCAGUUAGUAAGUAGGGUAAGGGCCUACUUAGACGAAGACGGGUACGGGGAAUGAGGGUUUGAUUCCGGAGAGGGAGCCUGAGAGAUGGCUACCAGGACCAAGGUCAGCAGCAGGUGCGAAAAUUAUCGAAGCCCGCAUUGGGGCGAUAGUGAGGAGACGUAAUAAGUAAGAAUGUGUAAAUACCGUUCUAGUAACUGGAGGUCAAGUCUGGUGCCAGCAUCCGCGGUAAUACCAGCUCCAGGAGUGUCUAUGAUGAUUGCUGCGAUUAAAAAGUCCGUAGUCGAGCUGUCUGACUUGCCUGUAAUGUGAUUGAUUAAAAGACGAGUAGGGCUAGGAAAGCAGAGAAUUAGGAGCGACCAAGGGCUAGAGUAUUGGAUGACGAGGGGUGAAAUCUGAUGACUCAUUCAGGAGUGACAGAGGCGAAAGCGCUAGUCAGGGGCGAAUCCGAUGAUCAAGGACGUAGGCUAGAGAAUCGAAAACGAUUAGAGACCGGAGUAGUUCUAGCAGUAAACUAUGCCGACGCCGUGGUAUCGAUUAUGGUGCUGCGGAAGAGAAAUCAAGUAGGGCUUUGGGGAGAGUACGCGCGCAAGCGAUAAAUUUAAAGGAAAUUGACGGAGGAACACCACAAGGAGUGGAGUAUGCGGCUAAUUUGACCCAACGCGGGACAGCUUACCAAGUCCGAUAACUGUAAGAGCGUUGUACGCGAUAGGUUAAAGAGUGGUGCAUGGCUGCCAUCAACAGCUGGGGUGACUUUAGGGUUAAUUCCGGCAAGUAGUGAGACCCCUAUAUAUUUAGACAGGUAUUGUUAAGAUACAGGAAGGAAGGGGCUAGAGCAGGUCAGUGAUGCCCUUAGAUGGCUUGGGCUGCACGCGUACUACAGUGGUCAUUAUAAAGAAGAGGAAAGUAGAAAUAAAGAUGAUCGAGAGGGAUUGAGCUUUGUAAUAGGCUCAUGAACGAGGAAUUGCUAGUAAUCGUA
rnacentral:rRNA from 1 species